rnacentral:rRNA from 1 species
AUGGACCUCGUCGUCGGCGCUUCAAGCAACGCCGUGAAAUCACUCGUCGGCAAGCUGGGAAGCCUCCUCGCCCAGGAGUACACCCUAAUCCAGGGCGUCCACGACGACAUCCAGUACAUCAACGACGAGCUGGCGAGCAUGCAAGCCUUCAUCAACAAGACCAAGCGAGCAGCCGGCCACGACGAUCACAGGCAUGACUGGAUGAAGCAGCUGCGGGAGGUGUCGUAUGACAUCGAGGAUUGCAUCGACGACGUCAACCACCGGCUCGGCCACGAGCCCCGCGGGAACGGCAAGCUGAUUUACCUCCGGAAGAAGUGGUACCUCCUCAAAACGCUCUAUGCCCGCGGCUGCAUCGCUGCCGACAUCCGCAACCUCAAGAUCCGGGCGCAGCACGUCAGCGACCGGCGCACCAGGUAUGGGGUGGAGAACCUUACAGGCAGCCAGACCGAGGAAGACGACGCUCCCACAGACCGUGUAACCCCUCCUGUCCUGAGCUCAUUGGUACCAAGCAGCCUGUGGGGGUAG